rnacentral:rRNA from 1 species
UACGUAGGGUGCAAGCGUUAAUCGGAAUUACUGGGCGUAAAGCGUGCGCAGGCGGUCGUGUAAGACAGGUGUGAAAUCCCCGGGCUUAACCUGGGAACUGCAUUUGUGACUGCACGGCUGGAGUGCGGCAGAGGGGGAUGGAAUUCCGCGUGUAGCAGUGAAAUGCGUAGAUAUGCGGAGGAACACCGAUGGCGAAGGCAAUCCCCUGGGCCUGCACUGACGCUCAUGCACGAAAGCGUGGGGAGCAAACAGG